rnacentral:misc_RNA from 1 species
AUCGGGCACUGGAGUUGCCAAUGGUGUGCUGGAUCUGAUAUUGAAAGCAAAAGACGGUGACGAAAUAGU